ensembl:lncRNA
CUGCCCUAGAUUAUAAAUUCCAUGAAUACCCACUAAGAGCAGGUUCUUAACAAAAAUCUGUUCAACAAAUCAUCAUCAGGCAUGGUGUUCUCUGUUUUGGAAAUGGUAGCUCUUUUAAUCUUCACAAUAACCCUUUGAGUUAGUUUUCACAGAUGAAAUUAAGGAGGUUUAAAUGCCAUGGGGCUCAUUUUUGUACCCUGGAAUUGUGCAGUGCACACCCUGCACAGUUGUAUGCAGCAACCCUGCUCAGAAACUUCUCCUUCUAAAUCAUUUGGGAAUGGUAUUAUCGCCAAGGAAGAGUGUCUUUCUGCUCCUUUCCCACCUUUGUGACAACCAUGCUGGAGGGUUAAUUACGAACAGAAAGUCCGGUGAGCUUCACCCAUCACAUUGGUCCUACAGCCAAAUCCUGGCUCCCUGUAAGCCCAAGAAAACACUCUUCUGUUUGUGUAUCAUGUGAAUAAUUAAUUGAUCAGUUAACCAAUUAACUGGUUCCUGUAAGGUUUGUCCUGUCCUCCUUGGUCCCCUCCACGUGUCCCGGUCAGGGUCAGUGGGCCUGUGCUCACAUGGGCAUUAUGUUGAUCUGAAAGACCCCAAACGAAGGACCAUUUGGAAACAUGUACACGAUCAAUGCCUUUUAAUGCCCUGAAACUGUGUGGAGAAGCUGCUCCUUUAGGCCUGUUGGGUUAAGGAAUAGUUUCCUUAAAGUACUGAGUGAGCACUGAUUGAAAAUGCACAGCAGCGCCUGGCUGUGCCGAGAUGGGUAAGUCAAGGCCCUGCCUUCAAGGGGCCCUCAGUCCAGUGCGACAAAGGCAGGGACAAGGAAGGCUUCUCAGAAGAGGUGGGUCAAGGCCAGGCUAGAGAGCAAAGGGUGCCCCUCCCGCCUGGUAUCUCAGAAGAGCCUGCGAGGCUGUCGUGCUCUACAAGAUCCCGUGGGGGCGCCUGGUGUGGAGACUUUUCACCUGACACAUGCCUUACUCUUCUUGCUGCUUGGCUCCACAGCCCUCGCCCCUGGCGCUCACCACCUCUAGUGUAACCGCUUCCUUUCAAGCUGAAGGACAGAGGCCAGUAUUUAUUUCUUUAUUUUUUUUUUCAAUAGCAGUAAAUAGUGAAUUCAUUAGAAGAAUUUUCCUGGUCCUAAACCCUGAGAGUCAUUGGGUAUUAAUAGACUUUAUCAAUUUUUAAAUUAUUUUAUGGGUGUCACAUUGGCUUACAACACAUGUAGAUUUCAGGUGUGCGUCACUAUAUGUCAGUUUCUGUAUAGACUGCAUCGUGCUCACCGGCAACAGUCCACUUAUUAUCUGUCACCAUACGCCUGUGCCCCUUUACCCCUUUCACCCUGUCCCCCGCCCCCGGCCCCGUAACCACUAAUCUAUUCUCCUUAUCUAUGUGUUUGUUUGUUUAUCUUAGAGGCCACUUUUUAAGAAAUGCCAACUAUUCCGUUCCCAUUGAGUUUUAAAAUGCCUUUCACCCUCUCACACAGUGAACGCCAGUGGGGUCAGCUCCAAGGCCUCACAGCUGAGGUCAGCGGUUCCCGAGCCCCCUGCUCAUCAGAAGCACUUGUGGUGCUUUUUAAAGACACAUGUGCCCCAUCUACUGAAGUUGAAUUUAGCUGUACCCUAAACCCAUCAAUCCUACUGCUGGGUAAAUACCCAUCAGAAAUGCAGAAAUCCACCAAACGAUGUCCAGGAAUUUCAUGGGAGCACUGUCUGUAACAGCUCCACGAGGACCCACACAAAUGCCCAGCAACAGCUGAGUGGAUAAACAAACUGUGGCAUAGGCACAAAGCGGAAUAGUAUACAGUACUGAAAAGAAAUGGAUUUAUGCUACAUGUGACGUCAUAGACAGAUCUCAGAAACACAGCAUAGAGCAAAAUCAGCCAGGUGCCAAACACUACAUGAUCCCAUUUUGGUUUUAUACUAAAAAUCAAGAAAAACUAAUCUGUUUUAGAUUAUUAAUCCGGUCUAGAUUUCUCUUGUCUGCAUAGGAAAGAGCUUACUCAUCGUUUUCUUUUCUUUUCUUUCGCCUCAAGUAGGAGUAAAAUAGCAACCGUAGUUUGGUGUGCCCAGAUGUUUCCAUCCACUGAGACCAACAGAGACUGAAAGGUGUUCCUUGUGACUCGGUGUCAGUGGUUUGUUAGCAGAAGUGUGUGUACUCUGGGGUUUCAAGGCUCCCUAACAGAAUUCACUUAUCCAACUAGCCAACGAGUGUUUAUUGAACACCUAUCAUAAUAAAAGCCAACAAGUGCCAGCUCUUACUAACCUCUUCCCUGGGCCGGGCAGCAUCCUGCAUCCUCUGCGUACAUCCUGUAACUUGAAUGUAGUAAGGGCGUCAAGUGCACAGACUCGGGAGCCAGGCUACCAGUGUUAAAACUCCAGCUUUGCUGCUUGCUCACUUAUGUGACUUUGGGAAAGUUACUUUGCCUCUCUGUGACUCAGUUUCCUCAUCUGUAAAUUGGGGAUUAUAACAGUACUGAUUCUUGAAAUUGGGGUGAGGAGUAAAUGAUGUUUGACACCUCUAAAUGCCACUUACUAUAUAUAGCAGUCACUACAUGUGCAUUAGCUAUUACUUUUCACAAAAGUCCUGUGAGAGAGCUGCUAUAAUAACACUGAUCUCGUGGUUGAGGAAACUGUGGUUAGAGAGGUUACAUGUCUUGUCCAAGGUCACACAGCUAAUAAGUAGCAACAUCACAAUUGCCAGCCAGGUUGCCUGACCUCAGCACUUAGAUACUUGUCUAUCAACUUCUCUGUGUUGUGCUGACGUAUUUCUCUCUCAGUCGUGUUUUGGCAGACACAGGGAUUAAAUAUCUGAAGAGAAGGUUCUAUUAAAGAGAUGUUUCAAGAGCCUGGGAAGUCGGAAUAUUUCAUAAGCCAACUCGUAGUGACAAGACCUGCCCCCUGGAAGUGGGAGGGGAGCACUUCCCAAUCAAGCUUCAUUUUCCAAGGGUGGAGAGUAGAAAGAAACGGGGAAGAAGCAUAUUCCUAAAGACGCUAACAUCGUCAGAUACUAGAAAAGCCACUGCAUGUAUCUUGUGUGUCAGCUUUAGAGCUGCCUUCACGUAACUGACGGAUGGGGUAUUUUGUCGCCUAACGUUGAAUACUGCUAAUUAGAGAGGCAAAGAUUGCCUUUUUCUUGAGUUCAUUUUAAAUAAAAGGCUCCAUUGAAACAAUGUCUCGGUAAAAAUUUAGGUACUAGCAAUUGAUGGGUAAAACUCUGUACCUAAGAUUUGUAUUAUAUCGGUUCCAAAAUAAUUAGGUUGGCAAACCUGUUAGGAACACCUCUCCCCUAUGAACACUGUCGUCUGCUGGUUUUCAAAGGAUGGCUACAUCUUACGUGAAAUGUAUUUCCAAGUUUUGCCGAGUAUUAAGGUGACUGGUUUUACUUCUUUUAUUAGAUACUUAGGUUUUCCCUUUUUUUAUAUAUAUAUUGCUUAAAAACAAACCUGCAUUUAGAGGCGUUGUGCUGCCUGAAGCCUCCUUGUUCAACACAGAGAAGAUUUCUCGCUGGUGCGAUUGCCCCCUCUCUUCUCUUUAAGCAAACACUGAAGGCUUUCAGCUGCUGCCCAAGACGUCCCUUUAAGACCCUUAAGGCAGUUUGAAAGGCUUCCAAAAAAGCAUGACAUUCAAUCAAAGUUCAGCAAGGAAAGUUUUAAUGAAUAAACCUGGUAAAUGAGAGAGCAGUGCGGCAGCGUGAUUAACUCUCAUUUGUGCAUUAGUGUUGAAAUUAAUUAAAAUGUUUAAGCCGUAGGAGGCUGGUUGCCUCGUCAGGACCUGGCUCUGCCCUCGGAGUCAGUCUGGAUGCAGGAGUGAUUCAUCUUACACAGAUGAGAGGGGAGAGAAGAAAAGAACAGUCAGGACAAAUGUGUUUUCAGUGAUGCUUAGCCGCAGGGAGACCAUUGAGCCCAGGGAGGAGAGCGGCAGAGUGUGACAUCAUCACGGGCCGGCCGUGCGGAGCCGCGUGACGAGCCUGCACACGCUCCUUGCUCCUCUCUCUUGGCCUGGAGGCUGCGUGUGUUCAUUUCUCUGCCAGGCGGGAUGCCGCGGUCUGCUCUCUUCAGGACCACUCACAAUUCCACUCUUUCCCCGACUCCUUUUAAGCCUGCUUGCCACCGUUAACGUCCGUCCCCGGGAGUCCCCACCCCACCCCAGCCCCCGGUGCAGUGACAUGAAAAGGUGGGCUUGGCACCCUGGUGGAUUUCCCUGAGAGCAACUCCACAGAAUGUAUGAAAAUAUAAUUGCCUCAAACAGACUCUCAGACACACAACAAUGGAUUUAUUGUUACAUUCCCUUGACAAUGUACAGAGCAGAAACCAUCUCUUCAAGAAACCCAAAAUAUUCCAUUCCCAUUAGGUUUUUAAAUAUCUUGUAAGCUCAAUUUCUUUCCAGAACUAUGGGUCUGUGGAUCUUCUUAUAGAAACCCAUUACCAUGUGGCUGUUUAACAAAUCUGUGCCUGCUUAAAAUUAUAAAUGACAGCCUAUUUCAUAAAGAGGAAAGUCCUCUUUGACGGGAAAACAAUCUCAGUUGGUUCUCCUUGGAUAACAAAUGGGCUUGUGUCAGGCCCGGCACCAUAGCUGUUUCCAAAAUAGUGUAGCAAUGGACUGCCGUUUUUAGUUCAGGGGUCCACAUUAAGGGGUUUGCAGAAAUUAGUGACUUCCUGCAAGUCUGAAUUAUUUCCACCUGGAGAAAAUGAUCAUGAUUUGCUCUGAAUCUGCAUUCAUAACUUUAAAAACUGUCUGUCUUCCUUAUUUUUUGCUCUAAAGAUUUCUUGUCAGACACAAUGUCAGAGGUCACUGUCAGAGUGUCCCUUUGGUACCCAUUAACUAUAACCAGCAAACUUGUUCACUAUUGAUCCGCCAUGUCUAAGUAUCUAUUAUGGUGGAUAUAAAAGGUGGCUUCAUAUCUUUCUAAACAGAUAAUUCAUAAAGGCCAAGGGGUCAUGGCUUGUGAUACAUUAUUCUUUCACUAUAACUGUGGCUGAAUGGAAAGAGAGAGAGAGGAAGAGAGAGGGUGCUAAGGGUCAUGAGUGUUGAUGCCAGAGGUAGAAAGUUGUGUGUCAACUGGACACAUUAACAUCCAUAUAAAUAAUAAAAGGCAUUAAUAAUGUUUGUUCAUGACCUCAUUAUCAAUUCAUCUAUUCACAAGCAGAGGCUUCCAGAGAAGAAAGACAGAGCUGAUUUUUUACCACCAAAGUUCAAUGGAGGUUGAACUCUAAAAUGGAAGUCAACUAAAGACGGUAAAGUAUAUUCCAGCAGAAAUAUGCUGGGUCCUGGGAUGGGUACAUUUUGCAGGUAAUGUGAAGCUAGUGUUUGGGGAACAGAAGCCUCAGACACAAGGGGUGAAGGAUCUGCGGGGCCCCCCUAGGCUUGGCACCCGGCCGCCCCCUGCAUUCCUUUGGGAUGGCUGGGUUCAUCAGAAUCUGUAACCUCCACUGAUUCAUACCGAACAUUCAGUAAUAACCGCAGAGGCCAUUGCUGGUGUCCCCACAUUCCCAUUCCCAUCCUAAAGUAAAGCAUCCCAUUGGGAGAAUGAUAAGGAUCUAACCAGUGAGCCUUGCUCACAAGUUAGCUGACUCUGGGCUCAUUCAGUGUCAUGUAUGGUCUUCUCCCCACUGGAGAACCCGGAGAUGGUGCGCUUUCUCAAGUCCACAGUUUGGAGGAAAGUAAAUUGAGAUGAAUCAUGGUGCAAUGAGAUAGUUAAAAUGUCAUGCUCCAUAAGUUUGAAUGCAUCCUUCAAGUUCCGAGCAGUAAAAUACAACUGAACGCUGAAACAAGGAAAACAAAGAAAAAGCAGACAACUAACAAUACAAAGCCCGCUUCUUUGACAAGGAUGAUUCCUGGGGGGAACCAAACAGCACCAUCCAGGAGCCGCCCCUGAGCACACACAGGCACACGCACGCAUCCACGUUCCCUCCUGGGUUACCUUCCUUUCACUGUUUUACUGUUUUACCUAUUAUGGCUGAGGGAUGACACAUCAGAAUUUCAAGAUUUCAGAGAUGAUUAACCACUAGCUUUAUUUCUGUUUACAAAAGUAGCUGAGGGGAGCUCCCUAGACUGGCUGGGCAGAUUACAGAUCGUCCACGGUAAAUGUGGGAGCUCACGACAAUGUGUGGGGUCAGAAAAGGCUGAAGGGGAGAGAUGGAAGGGAGGCUGGGCUGGGCGGAUGUGGGAGCCGCGGAAUUGCUUCCUGAUUCCUCCUUACAGAGCCCCAUUCAUUUCGGGUAUCCAGUGACUCUGUAACUCUUCAAGUUAAAACACCCUAAGAGAAACCCAAGAAUGACCUAUUUCCCGGAAGCGGCCAAGCUAAGUUAAUAGUCUAACCCUGGGAACAGCUUUUCUCCUUUAUGUGAAACCCCAGUUACUGGGACAACCAAGAUCUUGAGGGAAUUUCCCUUCAAUAUCUGCGGUUCUUAACGUUUUUGUGGAUCAAAAACCCUUUUAAGAAUAUAGCAAAAACUAUGAUCCCUCUCUGGAGGAAAAUACUCACACCCCCAAUUUUGCACAUAUUUAGGGAUUCAUAGCAUCCCUGAAGUUGCCACAGGUAAGAACCCGUGUUCUAAAUAGUUUUUUUUUAAACAGGUGAGCAUUGAUAGAAUGCGCCCUUCCUUCUACAGUUCAAUAAAGAAAAACAUGGAGCUUAGAGAUGAGCCAGCCAUUGUAACCUUCAGACUCCAAAUAAUACUGUUCUUAAUAAUAAUAAUAUUCAAGUGUCACGUUAGUGGUCUCUGUGGACAUCUCUAUUCUUCAUGAUAAUCUUUAUUUUUAUUUAAUGUUUGGAGAUGUUAUAAAAAGUGACUACUGUUUCAAAAUGUGACCUCUGUGAGGUUUAAAACCUACUGAAUCAGAUGAGAUAUGAAAGUGUUCAAUAUAAUGUAUGGCUUAAAGCUGUGUUUUUAAAACUUUAAUAGGAAAUGUCUGACUCUUAGAUCACUGUUUCUAAAGCCUGGCAGACAGAAACAUGUCUUUUAAAAAGGCCUAAUUUAUAUACCAAACAGAGACCCAGCAGGUGGAAAUAGUGCCUUUCCCCUUCGUUUCAUGCAAACCCGAACUCUUAAUUUGCCUUGAAUAAACCUCAGCUCCAGCAAUGUUUUAACAAUUAUAACUCAUCUCAUUUUUCUUCCCCAAAGAUUACCGGGUCCUGUGCUGGGCGGUGGGUUAUUGGGAUAAACAUCACGGUCUUUGUCGGCAGGAGGCUUACAGUCUAACUGGACGACAGACGUGGUGCACACCCAGUGGCCACUGCGGUGGCUUAGACAGCAUCCAUUCCCUUCUCCCCCACUCCUGGAAGACUCCAUUUUUAUCCAGGUGUCCACCCCUCCCUCUACAUAAGCUCCGUGAUUAGGGGAAACUGACUCAUAGUGGGCUCAACCCAUCAUGGGACUCCUACACACACCCUUGUCUACAAUUCAUUCAAGUAUCUUAGCUUCAGUGAAUUAUUGUUCUGCAUUCCCUUGUAAUGCCAAGUGGUCCAGGGACGGGCAUGUGACCUAAAUUGGCCUCAUCGUACCAAAGGGAAGGACGGUCAGGGGAACGUUCUGUCUCUUCCCUCCAGCUGAAGUGCCCCAAUUGCUGUUAGCAACUGUCGUAGCCACCAUUGGGGAGUUAGUCUAAGGACAAAGCUGGGACAUCUGGGAAGGCAGAUCCGAGAAAACUAGAGAGAACUGAAGGAGAAACCCUGAUCGAACCACAUCUGAAGCCCCUAUACCUCCAAAUGUCCUUGAUGUGGAUAGAUUUUCUAUGUCCUUUGUUUAUUCUCAGUUGAGUAGGGAUUUAUGUCCUGUGCAACCUUAAAGUUUCCUGACUGUCACUGUGUCAUUAUAGCCCAGAGUCACAGUCCCCCUUGAGUGCUGUGAGAAUCUUCCGAGGAGCACAGAGGGUGGACACACUCACGCUGGUGGACCCUCUCCAAAGGAGUGGUGCUUGAGCUGAGUUUUGACGGUUGAAUAGGAGUUAGCUGGGCAGAUAUGGAAGGGAAGCGGGCUUUAAAGAGAAGAACAAGGGAACAGAGGUGUGUCUGUGCCUCCCAGGGUGCUGGGAGGGUUGUAUGCAGACAGCAAAGAGAGCCUGGGGGGAUGUUUUGACUGAAGUGACAGAGGAUGUGGGCGAGGGCCAGAUCAUGAAGGGUCCUGCGUCCAUGUGAAUGUGGACUUUCUACUGAAGGUAAUUGAGAGCCAUGGAAGGAUGAUAAGCUCUGAAGUGUCAUGAUCGAUUCUGCAUUUUAGACACAUUGCUGGUGUCCAGUGUGGAUGGAGGGUUGGAGGGGACAGCUCUGAAGAUGAGGAGCUCAGUUCAAGAGUCUCCAUUUUGCUGAAACGCUCAGGCAUCUCUUCUGACAAGGCAACAUGGGUCCUCUCUGGGUGGUGCAGGCAUGGCAUCAGUGAAGACUGGCAAGGAGCCAUCACUGUGGAUCAAAAUCGAUGCUGAGAUCCAGGUCAGGGAACAUUUGCUGAGUGUGCAUGACUCAGAACACCACACAGCAUCAUGGAAAGAGCCCUCACUCGCUGUGUGACUUUAAGCUAGUUACUUAACCUGUCUGAGGUUCCACUUCCUUGUCUGUAAAAUGAGGGCACUGUACCUGCCUUGCACAGUUCAGAUUUGAAAAUGAAAGGCCCAGGACUUGGGGAGACGUUUCCACCGACGCACAAGUUGACCCCACUGCCUUCUGAGCCUGCUUCACCCCGGUGUGCACCCCCGCCACUGCCCUGCAUAGGAGGUUCCUCAGACUUUGUGCUGCUCCCUGCACGUCUUCAGGACGUCCUUUCUGCUUGGAUGCCCGUCUUCAGCUCCCAUCCUCCAACAGGCAGAUCCUCAGUCCUUCAAGCCCGGUCCAAACAUUCCUGGCUCUGGGGAACUUCAGCGCCUGGCCCCGCCCAGCAGUACGAAAGCACAGAAGCUCCUCUGCCUCGUCCGUCUUUCCGUGAAGCUCUGACUGCACCGCCACAUCGUCUUGCUGCCACCCAGAUCGCGCGCUCUUCGGGGCUGGGGGCUGAGCCCUAGUCCCGUUUGACUUUGCGUCUCUAGUGCCGACCCGGUCCAGAGCAAGAGCACAAAGCGUUUUUGUGAAUGAAUGAUAUUUCUCUCAAAUAUAUGAAUUGUGCAAUUUCGUGGAUAGCAUUUAUAUCUGGGGCAGUCAAGAUAGCUUCGGAACAGCAGGCCAACUCCAGAGGCCACGCGGCUCUCCAGUACAAGCGGCAAAUCCGUCCUUGUCUCAGUUUCCCAACUGACAAUCUGGAUCGAGCCGGAAUUUUUGAGCCCGGGGUCUCAGUCUCUGCUUUGAGACUUUCACAAGGAGUGAGGACAAGAGCUGAGUCUUACGUGGCUCCAAGUACACACCACGCACCAAGCAAACGACUCCUGUGAUCAUCAGAAUACCCCUGUGAAGUGGCUGCUGCCCUUCUUCCCAUUUCCCAGGUGAGGACGCUGAGCGCAGUGAGUUGAGCCGCCUGCCCGGUUACACGGCUGCGAGUGGGCGAGCCGAUUUCCUACCCAGGCUGUCCUCUUCAGACCCCGCAGCCUCCUCUGCAGUCCCUGAGGAAGCAGCACACUCAGCUCGCUCCGUCAGCACUCAGCCUGUGUCACAACCUGUGGGUUGGAAGGAGCACAGGGUGGCCUGUGUGGAGGUCUGUCUGCCUUGUAGGAAGCACCUGCAAUGAGCACAGAGUGCAAACACAGAGGAGCCAGUUAUUAGCAAAGCUACGGUGGGCUCACCAUGAGGAGCGAGGGGAGUCCUUCCAUGAUAUGCGAGAAUCCUGUGACACCCAGACACACCCCUGCACCCGUAGGAGUCCCACUGCCUCAAUUCACCAGGCUGCGCAUGGCGGCAUAGAGGGUAGUGUUCAGGCUCAGGUUUUCAAGUCAGAGUCCUGAACGCCAGGCCUGGGUCUGCUGUCCACUUCUUUGUGUGUGACUUUGGGCAAAUUACUUAGCCACCAUGUGACUCAGUUUCCUCAUCUGUAAAAUGCGGUGUGAAAACGUCUCCGGGUCCCAGGACAGGUACGGAAAUUAGAGGCGAUAAUUACACGGCAUUGACUUGGUAUAUCUGGCACCUACUGUGCGGUUAUAUCAAGUAAAGUUUAGCACGAAAUCCCUGCUAGAGACGGGAGAUUUAGUGACCAGGGGGGAGAGCAAACCCAAUGUCCUAACUACUCUUUUCCCCCUUCGGAUUUCCCAUUAAAAAAGAAACCCUUCAAUGAUGACUUUGGUCAAAAAGCCUUAUUUUACUACUAGUGCC